GCGGCAUUGGAAGGCAACCGCUCCGGGAACGCUGAAAAUGGCGUUUCCGGGGAGGAAAGUCCGGACUCCGCAGUGCAGGAAGUCCAGAGCGCGUGAGCGCCUCAGGAUACCGCGGACCAUAUUCCGCGGGAAGGAAAGUGCCACAGAAAACAAACCGCCCCUGUCCCCGCGCAAGCGGAGAUGGGAGCAAGGGUGAAACGGUGGGGUAAGAGCCCACCGGGCAUGUUCGAAAGGACAAGCCGCAUGGCAAACCCCUUCCGGAGCAAGACCAAAUAGGGGAUGAUGCUGCUGCACGCAGCGCUUGAAUCCCGGGUAUUGGUCGCAUAGACAGAUGGUUGCCAGCCCGAACGCGCAAGCGCUCGGGAUUACAGAAUCCGGCUUACUCCCUUGCCGCGCUU
rfam:Lentisphaerae bacterium GWF2_49_21 gwf2_scaffold_711, whole genome shotgun sequence.